AGAGUUUGAUCCUGGCUCAGGAUGAACGCUAGCGACAGGCUUAACACAUGCAAGUCGAGGGGCAGCACAGGGUAGCAAUACUUGGGUGGCGACCGGCGCACGGGUGAGUAACGCGUAUGCAACUUACCUAUCAGAGGGGGAUAGCCCGGCGAAAGUCGGAUUAAUACCCCAUAAAACAGGGGUCCCGCAUGGGAAUAUUUGUUAAAGAUUCAUCGCUGAUAGAUAGGCAUGCGUUCCAUUAGGCAGUUGGCGGGGUAACGGCCCACCAAACCGACGAUGGAUAGGGGUUCUGAGAGGAAGGUCCCCCACAUUGGUACUGAGACACGGACCAAACUCCUACGGGAGGCAGCAGUGAGGAAUAUUGGUCAAUGGCCGAGAGGCUGAACCAGCCAAGUCGCGUGAAGGAAGAAGGAUCUAUGGUUUGUAAACUUCUUUUAUAGGGGAAUAAAGUGGAGGACGUGUCCUUUUUUGUAUGUACCCUAUGAAUAAGCAUCGGCUAACUCCGUGCCAGCAGCCGCGGUAAUACGGAGGAUGCGAGCGUUAUCCGGAUUUAUUGGGUUUAAAGGGUGCGUAGGUGGUGAUUUAAGUCAGCGGUGAAAGUUUGUGGCUCAACCAUAAAAUUGCCGUUGAAACUGGGUUACUUGAGUGUGUUUGAGGUAGGCGGAAUGCGUGGUGUAGCGGUGAAAUGCAUAGAUAUCACGCAGAACUCCGAUUGCGAAGGCAGCUUACUAAACCAUAACUGACACUGAAGCACGAAAGCGUGGGGAUCAAACAGGAUUAGAUACCCUGGUAGUCCACGCAGUAAACGAUGAUUACUAGGAGUUUGCGAUACAAUGUAAGCUCUACAGCGAAAGCGUUAAGUAAUCCACCUGGGGAGUACGCCGGCAACGGUGAAACUCAAAGGAAUUGACGGGGGCCC
rnacentral:rRNA from 2 species